GAUGAACGCUGGCGGCGUGCCUAAUACAUGCAAGUAGAACGCUGAAGGAGGAGCUUGCUCUUCUGGAUGAGUUGCGAACGGGUGAGUAACGCGUAGGUAACCUGCCUGGUAGCGGGGGAUAACUAUUGGAAACGAUAGCUAAUACCGCAUGACAACAGUUAUUGCAUGAUAACUGUUUAAAAGGGGCAACUGCUCCACUACCAGAUGGACCUGCGUUGUAUUAGCUAGUUGGUGAGGUAACGGCUCACCAAGGCGACGAUACAUAGCCGACCUGAGAGGGGGGGCGGCCACACUGGGACUGAGACACGGCCCAGACUCCUACUGGAGGCAGCCGUAGGGAAUCUUCGGCAAUAGGCGGAAGGCUGACCGAGCAACGCCGCGCGAGUGAAGAAGGUUGUCGGAUCGUAAAGCUCUGUUGUAAGAGAAGAACGAGUGUGAGAGUGGAAAGUUCACACUGUGACGGUAUCUUACCAGAAAGGGACGGCUAACUACGUG
rnacentral:rRNA from 1 species